CCCCAAAGGAUCGCUCCCCUUUCCAAGACGCCGAUUAGGUCGCUUCCCUCCCCCAAGACGCCGAUUAGGUCGCUCCCCUCCCCCAAGACGACUAUUCAAACGCUUCGUCGCUCCCAAUACGACGAUUCAGGCAAUUCCUCACUCCCCAAGACACUCGAAUCAUCAAUAUAUUAAAGCGAGGUUUCAUCAUCUUCCAUCGUCUUCUUCGAAAUCAGACCUCUCUUCCAUCGUCUUCUUUAUCAUUCAAUCCAUCUCCAGGGUGGAGGUGGGCAUACUGCUAGUGGAGCUCUGUUGGUAUCUCUUUGUAAAACCCUCUUGAUGAUAUUACCUGCUUGUUACUCUCUCACCAGUGAUAUGCUAUCAUUCAAACCAAAAAGAUAGAUGGGAAGUAGAGCACUGCAAUAAAUUCGACCUACGGAGGCCCAUAGAAAAGUAUUUAAUAAUGUGAAAUCAUGUGGAGUGCAUUAGCCUUUUGGAUUGUUCAAAGUCUUGCUGGAUUCUGCGAUCGUGGUGGAACUAGACCAGCAUCCGUUGAUAUCGUUAUGUCUCGUUAGGGUGAGAGCAACAUCCGGAUGAACCCAAUUGAUAAGAUCAUAGGAUAUGGAAUGACCCCAUGAAAUGUUACUCCAUAAUGGACCAUAUGGAUUGUAUUUAUAGAACAGAUGGUAAACUCCAUUGUGAUACAUUGGUCCUGUAUUAAUACAUCAAAGACCAAUUGCACUGAUCGAAA